AACGAGACCUUAACCUGCUAAAUAGCCAGGCCGGCUUUCGCUGGUCGCCGGCUUCUUAGAGGGACUGUCAGCGUCUAGCUGACGGAAGUUUGAGGCAAUAACAGGUCUGUGAUGCCCUUAGAUGUUCUGGGCCGCACGCGCGCUACACUGACAGAGCCAGCGAGUUCUUCACCUUGGCCGGAAGGUCUGGGUAAUCUUGUGAAACUCU
rnacentral:rRNA from 1 species